GGAGCCUUGGCGCAAUGGUAGCGCGUUGGUUUUCGGUCUUGUACCUGUUCACCAAAGGUUGUGGGUUCGAUCCCCAUGGGCUUCG